rnacentral:lncRNA from 1 species
AUUUUAUACUCUACCAUGAAUAAAAGCAUCAUCGAGUGAAAAUACUCCAAUUGCAGACAAGUAUGAAACCAUCCCUGACCAAACAAAGUUGGACCCAGCAGAAGAUGUGAGUCUCACCUCUGAGGAGACAAAACCGGGAGAGCAUCUCCCAGGAGAGCAGGCCAUUCUCAUUCCAGCGCUGGAAGAAAAGAUUGAUUCAGUCAGCAAAAGGGAGGAGCCGGAGGGCACUGAGCCCCUGCCUGCGGGAUUGGAGGACGGCACUGGGCCGCCGUCUGCAUGGCAAGAGGAGAUCACUGGGCCUUCACCACCAGCGCCAGGGGAAGACAAUGGGUCAUCACCAUCAGGACCAGCGGAGAACAGUGGGCUGGUGGAUGGCAAUGACAGCUCUGUAGUGGAAAUCAUCAAGAAAGAACAUAUUACUGAAGAGGACCAACUCAUUGAGGGUGAGACGGGAGAACAGGUGGAAACUGAGCUGCUCAGUGAGAUAGUAAGUGAAGGGUCUGAAACAAAAGAAGAAGAAACAGGAGAAGCUGUGGAUGGUGCAGCAGCGACAGAGAUAGGUAUGUUGACAGAGGAGUGAAGGACUGUGUGUGUUAUUGUUCAGGAGACAGAAAAGCUGUGCUAUUGCUGAUGAACGCGUCUUCGUCAUCUUCCUGUCGGUGAGCAGCUGCUGCUUUCUGCAUUUUAAUGCAAGACAGAUAGUCAGAAUUUUUUUUAUUUACAUAAAGAGAUAGUUUUGGAAGCAAUCAAUUGUAAGUCAUGCUCUUUACAUGGGUCUUCUUUAUAUAAUACAUGAGUCUUACCAGUGAUAAAUUAUCCCUGUUUGGGGAAAAC